ACAUUACUUCACUUAACUGCAAUGAACCAUCUCCAAGGUUAUAUGGGGAGAACUGCCAGUUUAAGGCAGGCUUCAGUGAACUCCUGAAUAUUUACAAGCUGCGAGCCUGGACAGGUGUAACUGCUCUCCAGGGAUGCAGCUGUGAAAGAGGCGAGGACUCAGCUCACUCCAGAGCCGACGGAACUCAGAGAAGCAGAGUCGCCGGACCAAGCACUGCCCAAGAAGAGGGAUGGGGACCAGGCGGUGCCGGGCUACGGUGGUCCUCCGGGUGCCAUAAAUGCUAAAAUCACCCAUCUCCUGUAAUCCUGCAUCUGUGCUCUCAAGAGUGAGAUGGUUAAGUUCACCGCUUUGUGGAGCUGGCUGCGGAUGGCUUCUGUGUG
rnacentral:lncRNA from 1 species